ensembl:piRNA 21ur-3541 ncRNA
UCCACCAAACAUGAUAGAACU